UAUUACAGGGGCGCGAUUCACAUCUCAACCGAAAUAUUUGUAAAGCGAUACGAACGAGUUACGAGAUGAAAUCCGCAAUGUUUAAAAACGCGAUUCAUAGCACACAUACUUUGAUCUCGUUUUCAUAUCGCUAGUUCGUAUUUGGAUGGCUUGAGUGAAAUGAAUGAAACUAUAUUUUUUUUAAUUGCCAUGCAAAAAUUAUAAAUACUACCACUAAUUGUUUUAAAUAAUUUUGUUCCUACAAUAUAUUUUGUUGGAAUUAGUGUCGAUAGCAAGUAUCAAGAAACAGCUUUUUAAUUCAACGUUGAAGAAAUUCAUAACCUGUGGCACUUUUGACAGCCGCCAUGUUUUCUCCAUAAAAACAUUGAUUUUCUUUGCUCAUUUUCGUGUCAACGUAGUUUUUUUGGAAAAUAAGAAGAAAGGAAGUUUAACUUACUUAGAGAAAUACGACUGAGACAUAAACACAAGCAGCAGCCGAUGUGCUUGAGUAGCAGAAGGAGCAACUGCGUUGUGAGAGGGCCACGGCUUCAGCCCUCACAAUGAUAGCUGAUUAGCUGAAGUAAUGAACAGACAGGCUGCAGUCAAUGAGAGGCUUCUUGAGGAGGGGUUCCUCAUAUGGAAAAAGAUUUUAGCGGCGACGCAGUUGCGCGACCAGUGAAGCUCUGGCUCCGCGACCGGCGUGAAGCGCGCGGUCAGCGCGGCGCUUCUGCGGCUGCUGCGCGGGAGGAUCCCGUCCCUGCGCAUGCGCCUGGCCUUCAAUGACCUCACGCCUCUCUUCUUCCUCUUCUUCAUGCGUCAAUUCAAACAGAGGAGCACCUGUGAUUACUGAUUACCUAAGUUCCUAUAUACAAUAAUAGUUUAAUAAUUGUUAACAAAAUAUUGUAUAUAUAAGUAUUAAUAAUUACUUAUACAAAAGGCUAAAAGCAUUUUGUACCAGCCAACCUAUAGGAGAGAAUAUGAGAAAAAUAAUAAGACUUUAAUCUUUGAUUGCCAUUAUCUGUAGCUUUAUUAAGUGGUAAAGGGACCUAAUUACUACCUAUAUUUUUUUAGUAUUUGUGAUAAUUCAUAGAAUUUAUUAGUUCUAUCAAUAAAUAAAAUAUACAUGCA